GAUGAACGCUGGCGGCGUGCCUAAUACAUGCAAGUCGAGCGAACAGACGAGGAGCUUGCUCCUCUGACGUUAGUGGCGGACGGGUGAGUAACACGUGGAUAACCUACCUAUAAGACUGGGAUAACUUCGGGAAACCGGAGCUAAUACCGGAUAAUAUAUUGAACCGCAUGGUUCAAUAGUGAAAGACGGUUUUGCUGUCACUUAUAGAUGGAUCCGCGCCGCAUUAGCUAGUUUGUAAGGUAACGGCUUACCAAGGCAACGAUGCGUAGCCGACCUGAGAGGGUGAUCGGCCACACUGGAACUGAGACACGGUCCAGACUCCUACGGGAGGCAGCAGUAGGGAAUCUUCCGCAAUGGGCGAAAGCCUGACGGAGCAACGCCGCGUGAGUGAUGAAGGUCUUCGGAUCGUAAAACUCUGUUAUUAGGGAAGAACAAAUGUGUAAGUAACUAUGUACGUCUUGACGGUACCUAAUCAGAAAGCCACGGCUAACUACGUG
rnacentral:rRNA from 1 species